GACGAACGCUGGCGGCGUGCCUAAUACAUGCAAGUAGAACGCUGAAGAGAGGAGCUUACUCUUCUUGGAUGAGUUGCGAACGGGUGAGUAACGCGUAGGUAACCUGCCUUGUAGCGGGGGAUAACUAUUGGAAACGAUAGCUAAUACCGCAUAACAAUGGAUGACACAUGUCAUUUAUUUGAAAGGGGCAAUUGCUCCACUACAAGAUGGACCUGCGUUGUAUUAGCUAGUAGGUGAGGUAAUGGCUCACCUAGGCGACGAUACAUAGCCGACCUGAGAGGGUGGUCCGCCACACUGGGACUGAGACACGGCCCAGACUCCUACGGGAGGGAGCAGUAGGGAAUCUUCGGGAAUGGGGGCAACCCUGACCGAGCAACGCCGCGGGAGGGAAGAAGGUUUUCGGAUCGGAAAGCUCUGUUGUAAGUCAAGAACGGGUGUGAGAGUGGAAAGUUCACACUGUGACGGUAGCUUACCAGAAAGGGACGGCUAACUACGUG
rnacentral:rRNA from 1 species